UCCACGCCGUAAACGAUGGAUACUAGGUGUAGGAGGUAUCGACCCCUUCUGUGCCGGAGUUAACACAAUAAGUAUCCCACCUGGGGAGUACGGCCGCAAGGUUGAAACUCAAAGGAAUUGACGGGGGCCCGCACAAGCAGUGGAGUAUGUGGUUUAAUUCGAAGCAACGCGAAGAACCUUACCAGGGCUUGACAUACCUCUGACGUAGUUAGAGAUAACUAUUCCCUUCGGGGCAGAGGAUACAGGUGGUGCAUGGUUGUCGUCAGCUCGUGUCGUGAGAUGUUGGGUUAAGUCCCGCAA
rnacentral:rRNA from 1 species